UUGGCGCAAAUGUCAUUCGUGUAAAUAAGAAUAAUUUUGUGUCGCACAAAAUUCGAAUUCACCCUGGUGUUUUCGACAAAAGCGCCACAGGUGCGCGCGCUAAGUGGCUAUUUUGAAAGUAAACUUAUCGUUUCCACGACAGUCGGUUCUAUGUUACCGAAACGACCAGGAUUUAUAUCCGACCAAGGACUGUCACUCCAGCAGCAUCCCCCGUAUAUGAACAUCACUUCGCGAUCAAUAUGCUGAAGAAAGCGGUAAGCAACCUUCGGGAAGGGGGGCGAGCAUGUAACGCCCAAAAGGAUAACGUGUUACACUCUCGCCAAUCAUUAGGUUUUACUCUGCUGGAGGGUAUGCAUUUAGCCACCAAUCGUUGCACAUUCGCCAUCCGUCCCAGAGAACUCGCCAUUACCAUUAAUUUUUCAUGAAGAAGAAAUAGUCUUCAGUGAAACUACGAGCAGAAGCAAAAGAAGGAGGGGCGAGGACCGUCUGAAUGCGCAAUGUGGUGCUCUUAGCGCGUAGCUGGAAAAUAUUCAAGUCCACCACUAGUAAGCCGCAACGCUGAUUACGAAACAUUCAGAAGAUAUUCAAGACCAGUUUAAGUGGCAUUUAAGAUCAGUGGAUGUGUUUUGCUUUUUUAUUUGUUUAGCAUGAAGAAAAACAAGAACAUCUGUGUUUCUUUUUAUGCGGAAAUUUAUACGUUGUGACACAACUAAACGUUAGUCAAAUGUGUUGCUGCACGGACCCAUUGUGACAGCUCAAUAAGCGAUUGAUCAUAAAAC